UACGUAUGGACCGAGCGUUGUCCGGAAUCAUUGGGCGUAAAGGGCGUGUAGGCGGCCACUUAAGUCCUGCGUGAAAUCUUGCGGCUCAACCGCAAGCGGUCGUGGGAAACUGGGUGGCUAGAGUGCGGGAGAGGAGAGUGGAAUUCCUGGUGUAGCGGUGGAAUGCGCAGAUAUCAGGAAGAACACCCGUGGCGAAGGCGGCUCUCUGGAACGCAACUGACGCUGAGACGCGAAAGCGUGGGGAGCAAACAGG
rnacentral:rRNA from 1 species